AUGAUCGACGGCUUCAUGGCCGAGCAAUAUUCGAACCUCGCCCUGCGCGCGCACGUACCGACGUACGGCACCGGACAGGACGGCUUAUACAGUUAUACUUGCCCGGCACGAGCCUCCCCUCCCAUCCCACGUAUACUUGAACCUCGCCCGUACCUUCCUUCUCACGUAGCCUCGCUUACGGGAGCUGGCGCCGAUUGCACCAUGACCGGCGACGAGCACGCCGGCAAGGCGUGUCCAGCCCGUGGGAUUCGUUCCUUUCGAACCUGCAGAAUUCUAUGGAUCUUCGUCGAAAUAUCACUGGGAAUACUGGUAAUCUUCAAGAACCUGUGGGUUCGGUUACGGCUGGCAGAAGCACAGCCCACGCUGACGCCUCCCUCCGCCGGCACCGCCGGCACGACGAUCAUGACGGCCGCGCGAGUAGCCGACAUAUUCGCCAUGAUCGACGUCCACGCCGCCGCGGGGACAAUGAGCGGCAAUCUGGUCGAGGCAAUAUGCGCCAUGAUCAACGAUGCCUGCCACGACGACGACGCAAAGGACUUGCAUAGCCAGAAAGGGAGAAGGCGGCGCGAGCGCGACGCCGGCAUCGGCAGCACCCGCUGCUACAAGCAGAUGCGCAGGCUCGGCAAGGGCUCCAGCGGCCGCGUCGUCAUGGCGCAGCACCGCGACACCGGCCAGACGGUCGCCCUCAAGACCAUCCACGCGCGCGGCGGCGCGAGGCGCCCCAACGUCGGCGAGCUGCUCAAGGAGGCCUGCAUCCUGGCCGCGUGCCGCGGGCACCCCAACCUCGUCGGCCUCCACGCCGUCGUGCGCGACCCAGGCACCAAGCAGUACUGCCUCGUCAUGGACUACGUCGGGCCCAGCCUGUUCCAUGCUCUGGACAGGCACGUGGAAGAGCACGGCCGCGCGUUCCCGGAGGCCGACGUGCGCCGGGUCAUGCGGCAGCUGCUCACGGGCGCCGCGGCGAUGCACGAGCGCGGCAUCAUUCACAGGGACAUGAAGACUGCAAACAUCCUCAUCGGAGAAGAAGCCGGCGGCGUCGUGAAAUUCUGCGACUACGGGCUGGCGAUGCCCACGGCCAAGGCAGAGCCGCCGUACGGGCUGGCCGGGACGGUCCCCUACAUGGCGCCAGAGAUGCUGCUGGAGAAGCCGGAGUACGACGAGGGCGUCGACAUGUGGUCGCUCGGGUGCGUCAUGGCAGAGAUGCUCUCCGGCGAGGAGUUGUUCAGCGGGGAAAAGACGAUGGGCCAGAUCGGCAAGAUAUUCGAUGUACUCGGCGCGCCGGGCAAGAAAACGUGGCAGCACUUCGAGUCCGCGCUCCGAGCUGAUGAGGUGCGGCAAUGGCGGGCACGGCAGCGAGAAGUGCGGCGCCACGACCGGCUGCGGGAGCUGUUCCCGGAGGAGCUGCUGUCGUGGCACGGGUUCCAUGUCUUGAAGGGCCUCCUUACCUGCAACCCCAGCAAGAGGCUGACAGCAGCCGGAGCCCUCCGGUGUCCCUGGUUCAAGGUCGACGGCCCUGGAACUGAUGAUGCUUCCGGUCACGGGAUCGGCGGUACGGCAUUAGCCAGGCACACUGCAUAG
rnacentral:rRNA from 1 species